rnacentral:rRNA from 1 species
AUGAGGUGUGGGUAGCGGAGAAAUUCCAAUCGAACUUGGAGAUAGCUGGUUCUCUCCGAAAUAGCUUUAGGGCUAGCCUCGAGGUAAAGAGUCAUGGAGGUAGAGCACUGUUUGGACUAGGGGCCCUUCUCGGGUUACCGAAUUCAGAUAAACUCCGAAUGCCAUGUACUUAUACUCGGGAGUCAGACUGCGAGUGAUAAGAUCCGUAGUCGAAAGGGAAACAGCCCAGACCACCAGUUAAGGUCCCCAAAUAUAUGUUAAGUGGAAAAGGAUGUGGGGUUGCUUAGACAACCAGGAUGUUGGCUUAGAAGCAGCCACCAUUGAAAGAGUGCGUAAUAGCUCACUGGUCGAGUGACCCCGCGCCGAAAAUGUACCGGGGCUAAACAUAUUACCGAAACUGUGGAUGAACCUCUUUAGAGGUUCGUGGUAGGAGAGCGUUCUAAGGGCGGUGAAGUCAGACCGGAAGGACUGGUGGAGCGCUUAGAAGUGAGAAUGCCGGUAUGAGUAGCGAAAGAAGGGUGAGAAUCCCUUCCACCGAAUAUCUAAGGUUUCCUGAGGAAGGCUCGUCCGCUCAGGGUUAGUCGGGACCUAAGCCGAGGCCGAUAGGCGUAGGCGAUGGACAACAGGUAGAGAUUCCUGUACCAGUGCUAAUUGUUUAACCGAUGGGGUGACACAGAAGGAUAGGGAAUCGCACGAAUGGAAAUGUGCGUCCAAGCAGUGAGUGUGAGAAGUAGGCAAAUCCGCUUCUCGCGAAGCAUGAGCUGUGAUGGGGAAGGAAAUUAAGUACGGAAGUUCCUGAUUUCACGCUGUCAAGAAAAGCCUCUAGGAAGAGUAGUACUGCCCGUACCGCAAACCGACACAGGUAGAUGAGGAGAGAAUCCUAAGGUGAGCGAGAGAACUCUCGUUAAGGAACUCGGCAAAAUGACCCCGUAACUUCGGGAGAAGGGGUGCUCUAUUAGGGUGCAAGCCCGAGAGAGCCGCAGUGAAUAGGCCCAGGCGACUGUUUAGCAAAAACACAGGUCUCUGCAAAACCGUAAGGUGACGUAUAGGGGCUGACGCCUGCCCGGUGCUGGAAGGUUAAGAGGAGUGCUUAGCUUCGGCGAAGGUACGAAUUGAAGCCCCAGUAAACGGCGGCCGUAACUAUAACGGUCCUAAGGUAGCGAAAUUCCUUGUCGGGUAAGUUCCGACCCGCACGAAAGGCGCAACGAUCUGGGCACUGUCUCAACGAGAGACUCGGUGAAAUUAUAGUACCUGUGAAGAUGCAGGUUACCCGCGACAGGACGGAAAGACCCCGUGGAGCUUUACUGCAACCUGAUAUGGAAUGUUUGUACCGCUUGUACAGGAUAGGUAGGAGCCGAAGAGACGUGUGCGCUAGCAUACGAGGAGGCAAUGGUGGGAUACUACCCUGGCUGUAUGACCAUUCUAACCCGCCACGCUUAGCGCGUGGGGAGACAGUGUCAGGUGGGCAGUUUGACUGGGGCGGUCGCCUCCUAAAGAGUAACGGAGGCGCCCAAAGGUUCCCUCAGAAUGGAUGGAAAUCAUUCGCAGAGUGUAAAGGCACAAGGGAGCUUGACUGCGAGACUGACAAGUCGAGCAGGGACGAAAGUCGGGCUUAGUGAUCCGGUGGUUCCGCAUGGAAGGGCCAUCGCUCAACGGAUAAAAGCUACCCCGGGGAUAACAGGCUUAUCUCCCCCAAGAGUCCACAUCGACGGGGAGGUUUGGCACCUCGAUGUCGGCUCGUCGCAUCCUGGGGCUGUAGUCGGUCCCAAGGGUUGGGCUGUUCGCCCAUUAAAGCGGCACGCGAGCUGGGUUCAGAACGUCGUGAGACAGUUCGGUCCCUAUCCGUCGCGGGCGCAGGAAAUUUGAGAGGAGCUGUCCUUAGUACGAGAGGACCGGGAUGGACACACCGCUGGUGUACCAGUUGUUCCGCCAGGAGCAUCGCUGGGUAGCUAUGUGUGGCAGGGAUAAACGCUGAAAGCAUCUAAGCGUGAAGCCCCCCUCAAGAUGAGAUUUCCCAUUUCUUCGGAAAGUAAGAUCCCUGAAAGAUGAUCAGGUAGAUAGGUUUGGAGUGGAAGUGUAGCGAUACAUGGAGCGGACAAAUACUAAUCGAUCGAGGACUUAACCAA